AAAAGUGAAGGCAUGCAAGAAGACCAUGACCCAGAAGAAGAAAUCAUAACUUGGCCCUAGCCAUGCCUCCUCUGGUUCCAGCAACUUAUUUCCAACAUGACGCAGUCUGAAGACUGGAGUUUGUGGUACGCACAUCUGUGUAGCAUUGUAUUUUUUUAUUGUUUAUUUGCUCUGCUAUUGAUAAAUAAAACAGGAAAUGUUUGAUACCCCAAAUCUCAACUUAAUACAGUACAUAGAAGAAUCUUGUGUCAUACAAACUAUUAAAUAUAAUUUAUAGAACACUGUGCCAAAAUAGUAUAAUGCAGUAGUGUAAUCCCAAAAUGGAAAAUGGAAAGAGAAAAGACAAAAUAAAGCCAAGACCAGGAGAUAAAGCCUCAAAACCAUUAAUCAAAAAAGCAGGAGUCUAAAGCCAGUAAAACACAGAAUACCAAGCAAACAGACCUAAAAUGCUAAGCAAAAGUCAUAGCUGAAAAUAUAGACCCAUAACAUCACAAAAAUAGCGACAAAAAUGAAUUAUCCUCAUAAAAUAAAUAUUUUAAUGCAAACAAUAUGCACAAUGAUAUUCUGCAUACUUCAAAGCAUUUAAACCAUAACAGCAGUUAGACUGCAUCUGGAAUAGUAUGUGCUGUUCUGGUAACCACACUGGGAAAUAGGAAUAGCAUCUCUAGAAGCUGUGCAGAGAAGAGCAAACAAGUGCAUCCUUGGACUAAAUUCGUGGCCUUUUUCUAACAUCUUUGAGCAGCUAAAUUUCUUCAGCAGGCUAUAUGUUUAUUUUAUGAAAAACUGCACACAAGAUGGCAAAAAGCAGGUGAGACCUCAAAAAGAUCCACCAAUCAAGCCUUACUACUGGCAGCCUGACCCCAAAAUCCACAUGUCAGCUUUAUGCUGCACAGGCACAAAAUGUAAAAUUGCCUUUAAGUUCAAAAUAUAUAAAGCUGAGAGGAACAGUCAAAAACUCCGGCUUGAGUGACAAGUCCAAGAAGGGAUUUUUAUAUAGGCAGGGAUUUAUUUAUAACUAGCAAAAUACACGCGCUUC